rnacentral:rRNA from 1 species
CCGACAAGUCGAGCAGGUGCGAAAGCAGGUCAUAGUGAUCCAGGUGGUUCUGUAUGGAAGGGCCAUCGCUCAACGGAUAAAAAGGUACUCUGGGGAUAACAGGCUGAUACCGCCCAAGAGUUCAUAUCGACGGCGGUGUUUGGCACCUCGAUGUCGGCUCAUCUCAUCCUGGGGCUGUAGCCGGUCCCAAGGGUAUGGCUGUUCGCCAUUUAAAGAGGUACGUGAGCUGGGUUUAAAACGUCGUGAGACAGUUUGGUCCCUAUCUGCCGUGGGCGUUGGAAGUUUGAAGGGGGCUGCUCCUAGUACGAGAGGACCGGAGUGGACGAACCUCUGGUGUACCGGUUGUGACGCCAGUCGCAUCGCCGGGUAGCUAUGUUCGGAAGAGAUAACCGCUGAAAGCAUCUAAGCGGGAAACUCGCCUUAAGAUGAGACUUCCCCGGGGACUUGAUCCCCUUGAAGGGUCGUUCGAGACCAGGACGUUGAUAGGUCGGGUGUGUAAGCGCAGUAAUGCGUUCAGCUAACCGAUACUAAUUGCCCGUACGGCUUGAUCCUAUAACA